GAUGAACGCUGGCGGCGUGCCUAAUACAUGCAAGUCGAGCGAACGGACGAGAAGCUUGCUUCUCUGAUGUUAGCGGCGGACGGGUGAGUAACACGUGGAUAACCUACCUAUAAGACUGGGAUAACUUCGGGAAACCGUAGCUAAUACCGGAUAAUAUUUUGAACCGCAUGGUUCAAAAGUGAAAGACGGUCUUGCUGUCACUUAUAGAUGGAUCCGCGCUGCAUUAGCUAGUUGGUAAGGUAACGGCUUACCAAGGCAACGAUGCAUAGCCGACCUGAGAGGGUGAUCGGCCACACUGGAACUGAGACACGGUCCAGACUCCUACGGGAGGCAGCAGUAGGGAAUCUUCCGCAAUGGGCGAAAGCCUGACCGAGCAACGCCGCGUGAGUGAUGAAGGUCUUCGGAUCGUAAAACUCUGUUAUUAGGGAAGAACAUAUGUGUAAGUAACUGUGCACAUCUUGACGGUUCCUAAUCAGAAAGCCACGGCUAACUACGU
rnacentral:rRNA from 1 species